GUGCCAGCAGCCGCGGUGAUACGGAGGGUGCAAGCGUUAAUCGGAAUUACUGGGCGUAAAGCGCACGCAGGCGGUUUGUUAAGUCAGAUGUGAAAUCCCCGGGCUCAACCUGGGAACUGCAUCUGAUACUGGCAAGCUUGAGUCUCGUAGAGGGGGGUAGAAUUCCAGGUGUAGCGGUGAAAUGCGUAGAGAUCUGGAGGAAUACCGGUGGCGAAGGCGGCCCCCUGGACGAAGACUGACGCUCAGGUGCGAAAGCGUGGGGAGCAAACAGGAUUAGAUACCCUGGUAGUCCACGCCGUAAACGAUGUCGACUUGGAGGUUGUGGCUUCCGGAGCUAACGCGUUAAGUCGACCGCCUGGGGAGUACGGCCGCAAGGUUAAAACUCAAAUGAAUUGACGGGGGCCCGCACAAGCGGUGGAGCAUGUGGUUUAAUUCGAUGCAACGCGAAGAACCUUACCUGGUCUUGACAUCCAGGUGCUGCAUGGCUGUCGUCAGCUCGUGUUGUGAAAUGUUGGGUUAAGUCCCGCAACGAGCGCAACCCUUAUCCUUUGUUGCAACUCAAAGGAGACUGCCAGUGAUAAACUGG
rnacentral:rRNA from 1 species